AUGAGGCUGCAAAAAUUGCGGGUACUGAAUGUGACAUUUGGUUUGACUAUGCAUGUCAAGUUCUUAGAACCUAUUGGUGUCAAGCAUAUACGCCACCUUACUUUCAAGAUCGGUGGAUCAGACAGACUAAUUUUACCAGGGACCUUUAGAGAACUUCACCACAUUCAGACACUUGAUUUUGGUGAUCGCAGACAUCUUUCGCUCUCCAAAGGUGAAGACAGGAUUUAUUUGGUUAGCUUACGCCAUGUGGGGAAUGCCAGUAUGGUGAAGUUGGUGAACAUUGCCAGGUUGACAUCACUCCAAGAGUUAGGACCAUACUUCACAGUAAGUAAGGAUAGCAGAGGUUCCAAGAUAAAACAUCUGGGGGACCUAAACAAGCUUCGUGGCCGUUUGCGCAUUAGAGGUCUUGAAAAUGUUAGAAGCAAUGGGGAAGCUCUUGAAGCCAAGCUAGCUCAUAAGGAGCUACUCACAGAGCUAGAACUAUGCUGGGAUUGUGAUCAGGAGAGCUGCAAUCCAGAAGUUGAAGUAGAGGUACUUGAGGGUCUAUGCCCUCCAAAGGAUCUUGAAAAACUGGAACUCCACAUGUACAACAGAGUGAGAUACCCUAAUUGGAUGGUGGGUAGGCAGAACGGUGGCUUAAAGUGCCUGCAAGAACUUGAGCUCUGGAACUGCAGCCUAUUGGGGCUAGCUCUCACGAAACUGUCCAUCGAUGGUUGCCAAAAUAUCCAUUCUCUUCCAGUGCUGCCCCAGUCCCUUGAGGAGUUUGAACUCAAGCGCUGCAAUGAGGUGUUCAUGAGGUCGUGUGAAACAAUUGGAGAUCCAAACCGGCAAAAGAUUCAGCACAUUCACAAUAAACAAAUUGGACCUGGCAGGCGCAUGAGAGGUGUACAGUUUGAUGAUGAUGUUUCCCACACCGAAGCACAUGGGUCAGCUGGGUGCAGGUGCUUGAUUCUUUGA
rnacentral:rRNA from 1 species